AAUGCUGAGCCCGUUCACCUCGGAGAAGAAGCAGCUGGUGAGCUUCUGCUCCCCAAGUGGAGAAGAACUCAGGAAGUUUGCAGAAGAGCUCAGAGAGGCGAUAACCGAGGUCAACGAGAUGGAGCAGAUACACAUCCAGUGGGAAUUGGAGAGGCAACAAGGCAUCCUGCCACAUGGCGUACACACCAAUGGCGGGCAAGUGGACACACACACAGGACAUGGCUCUCCCUCAGGGCAACAGGAUGCGUACGAUAAACCGGCAACAACAACACAGUAGAGGUGUCAAUUCACAACAGGCUGCAGACCUAUCAACUGAGCCAGCCCAGUAUUGAGUCGACGCCUCUGGCCCUGGCCGCGCCACCCGCCCUGCUCGGCUCUAUUCCGCCCGGAGACCUUCGCCCAGACACACUCAUCCAAUGCCAGCAGAUAGUCAAGGUGAUUGUGGUGGACCAGAGCGGGCGAGGGCGAAUGGAGGCCUUCCUCAGCCAAGGCCCGGCCGCCCACCAGCUCAUCCACUCGGCCAUGUCCACGCCCGUGCGGGUCAUAGAUGGGGGAGAUGGUCCUCAGCCUCCUCUGCCGCCUCCACCUCCACCAUACAACCACCCCCACCAGUUCUGUCCCCCGGACUCGCCCAUGCCCUUCCACCACCACCCUGCCCCUAACCCG